GUCUUGGGCUUCACGCAUGCUACAAUGGCCGGUACAAAGGGCUGCGAUACCGCGAGGUGGAGCGAAUCCCACGAAAGCCGGUCUCAGUUCGGAUUGGGGUCUGCAACUCGACCCCAUGAAGUCGGAGUCGCUAGUAAUCGUGGAUCAGAAUGCCACGGUGAAUACGUUCCCGGGCCGUU
rnacentral:rRNA from 1 species